UAGUUUUGCUUCAUACAGCUACACGUAGUGCUUAAGACAUUGGCAGACACUGAAAUGCAUAUGUUCUUAACAUGCAAAGUCCCAAGUGUGGGACUUGCGAACAUAUUUU